rnacentral:rRNA from 1 species
GAUGAACGCUGGCGGCGUGCCUAAUACAUGCAAGUCGAGCGAACAGACGAGGAGCUUGCUCCUCUGACGUUAGCGGCGGACGGGUGAGUAACACGUGGAUAACCUACCUAUAAGACUGGGAUAACUUCGGGAAACCGGAGCUAAUACCGGAUAAUAUAUUGAACCGCAUGGUUCAAUAGUGAAAGACGGUUUUGCUGUCACUUAUAGAUGGAUCCGCGCCGCAUUAGCUAGUUGGUAAGGUAACGGCUUACCAAGGCAACGAUGCGUAGCCGACCUGAGAGGGUGAGCGGCAACAGGGGAACUGAAACAGGGCCAAGACACAGAGGGGAGGAAGAAGUAGGGAAUCGUCCGAAAGGGGCGAAAGUGGGAGGGAGAAACGCGGCGGGAGGGAGAAAGGUCUUGGGAUCGAAAAACUGUUUUAUGAGGGAAAAAAAAAUGUGAAAGAAACUAUGCACGUCUUGAGGGAACAAAAUAAAAAAGCCACGGCAAACAACGGG